GGACUGGAUAAUUUGUAUCCGAGUCCUGGAUGGAAACAGACGGCUCUCAAAAGGUGGCGCGGAGUCCAGAGAAAUGCCUAUGUACAGAUUUGGUCCAAUGCCUCAGCCUGACCUCAGUGACCUUUGGGAGUCCGCUCCGCGUCCACCCUUACACACCUGUGACCCCACACACUUCCACCCCAGCGCCCCUGCCAAUGCUACCCCCACCCCCCUCCAACCGCGCCAGCUUCCAGCCUCCGUCCAUCUGAACUCGCCGCGCCCCCUCCACUGCGCCCUUCCAGAUUCAUUGACUAGGGAAGCCCGCUCUUCCGGGGGGAGCUGUUCCUCACCCCCUUUCUUUAUCAUUCUCUCCCCAGGGCUUCCACAUCACGGUGCUGUGGACAAUCCCGUAACUCUUGUCACGCCAGUGUACAUGGAGGAACAGUAAUGGCUCCCACUGACUCAGUCAAAACAAGGUUGCGGCCGGGCGCGGUGGCUCACGCCCGUAAUCCCAGCACUUGGGAGGCCGAGGGGGACGGAUCACGAGAUUAAGAGUUCGAGACCAGCCUGGCCAACAGGGUGAAACCCCGUCUUUACUAAAAAUACAAAAAUUAGCCGGGUAUAGGGGCGCGCGCCUGUAAUCCCAGCUACUCCGGAGGCUGAGGCAAGAUAACUGCUUGAACCCGGGAGGCGGAGGUUGCAGUGAGGCGAGAUCGCGCCACUGCACUCCAUCCUGGGCGAUGACAGAGCAAGAGCAAUACUCUGUCUCCGAGAACGAGAACAACAACAACAAAACGGGGCUGCGUGGGACGCAAAAACAGCUAAUGCGGCCUCACUUGUCCCCUCGGGGCCACCGUCCCCACCCAGACUUCCGGCCUGCCUUAAAAUGCUCAUGCGUUAGUGCGUGGGAGGGAGGGCGGGCUCAAGCGUAGCUCGUGGCGGUCAUUGGCUGUGCCGGGCCGAGCGAGGAGGGGCGAGGUCGCCGCGUGACGUCAGGACGCCGCGGUCAGAACGUCGAAGCCAAAGAAGACCAGAGCCAGCCGGGUGGCCGAUCGGUGUCGUGGUCGUGUUGCUAAUCGCCUGGGUGGUUGUUGGCGUGUCCCUGCAGCGAAGGGUCCUGGUUGACAGUGAAAAAGCAGUCUGGCUCCCGAGGUCCACCCCUUCUACCCCAAGGUCCGGAUGGCGGCCAACGUGGGUGAUCAACGUGGCACAGAUUGGUCUUCUCAGUAUAGCAUGGUGGCUGGGGCAGGCCGAGAGAAUGGCAUGGAGACGCCAAUGCACGAGAACCCGGAGUGGGAGAAGGCCCGCCAGGCCCUGGCCAGCAUCAGCAAGUCAGGAGCCGCCGGCAGCUCUGCCAAGUCCAGCAGCAAUGGGCCUGUGGCCAGCGCACAAUACGUGUCCCAGGCAGAAGCGUCAGCUUUGCAGCAGCAGCAGUACUACCAGUGGUACCAGCAGUACAACUAUGCCUACCCCUACAGCUACUACUAUCCCAUGAGCAUGUACCAGAGCUACGGCUCCCCUUCCCAGUAUGGGAUGGCCAGCUCCUAUGGCUCAGCCACACCCCAGCAGCCAUCCGCACCCCAGCACCAGGGGACUCUGAACCAGCCCCCAGUCCCCGGCAUGGAUGAGAGCAUGUCCUACCAGGCUCCCCCUCAGCAGCUGCCGUCGGCUCAGCCCCCUCAGCCCUCAAAUCCCCCGCAUGGGGCUCACACGCUGAACAGUGGCCCUCAGCCUGGGACAGCUCCAGCCACACAGCACAGCCAGGCGGGGCCCGCCACAGGCCAGGCCUAUGGGCCACACAGCUACGCUGAACCUGCCAAGCCCAAGAAGGGCCAACAGCUGUGGAACCGCAUGAAACCGGCCCCUGGGACUGGAGGUCUCAAGUUCAACAUCCAGAAGCGACCAUUUGCUGUCACCACCCAGAGCUUUGGCUCCAGCGCAGAGGGCCAGCACGGCGGCUUCGGCCCCCAGCCCAACCCUGAGAAAGCUCAGAACCACAGCGGGUCCUCUGCCCGGGGGACCCUGUCUGGGAAGCCCGACGACUGGCCCCAGGACAUGAAAGAGUACGUGGAGCGCUGCUUCACCGCCUGUGAGUCGGAGGAGGACAAGGACCGCACGGAAAAGCUGCUCAAGGAGGUGCUGCAGGCGCGGCUGCAGGACGGCUCGGCCUAUACCAUUGACUGGAGCCGGGAGCCCCUGCCAGGGCUGACCCGGGAGCCUGUGGCCGAGAGCCCUAAGAAGAAGCGGUGGGAGGCCCCUAGCAGCCUUCACCCUCCUAGAGGGGCGGGCUCAGCGACUAGGGGCGGGGGUGCUGCGUCCCAGCGAGGGACGCCGGGGGCCGGGGGUGCUGGUCGAGCCCGGGGCAACAGCUUCACCAAGUUUGGCAACCGCAACGUCUUCAUGAAGGACAACAGCUCUUCGUCCAGCACAGACUCCCGCUCCCGCUCCUCCUCCAGGUCCCCAACCCGCCACUUCCGCAGAAGUGACUCCCAUUCAGACUCCGACAGCUCCUACUCAGGAAACGAGUGUCACCCUGUGGGCCGCAGGAACCCGCCCCCUAAGGGCCGGGGUGGUCGAGGGGCCCAUGUGGAUCGGGGCCGAGGCAGGGCACAGCGUGGGAAGAGGCACGAUCUGGCUUCCACCAAGCGCAGUCGAAAGAAGAUGGCGGCGCUGGAGUGCGAGGACCCCGAGCGCGAGCUGAAGAAGCAGAAGCGGGCAGCUCGCUUCCAGCACGGACACUCCCGCCGUCUGCGCCUCGAGCCCCUGGUGCUGCAGAUGAGCAGCCUGGAGAGCAGCGGGGCCGACCCUGACUGGCAGGAGCUGCAGAUCGUGGGCACCUGCCCUGACAUCACCAAGCACUACCUGCGCCUCACCUGUGCCCCCGACCCGUCCACCGUGCGCCCUGUGGCAGUUUUGAAAAAAUCGCUGUGCAUGGUCAAGUCCCACUGGAAAGAGAAGCAGGACUACGCGUUUGCCUGCGAGCAGAUGAAGUCGAUCCGGCAGGAUCUGACGGUGCAGGGCAUCCGCACCGAGUUCACGGUGGAGGUUUACGAGACCCACGCCCGGAUUGCCUUGGAGAAGGGUGACCACGAAGAGUUUAACCAGUGCCAGACACAGCUCAAGUCCCUGUAUGCCGAGAACUUGCCCGGCAACGUGGGCGAGUUUACUGCCUACCGAAUCCUCUACUACAUCUUCACCAAGAACUCAGGAGACAUCACCACGGAGCUGGCAUACCUCACACGAGAACUGAAGGCAGAUCCUUGCGUGGCCCACGCCUUGGCAUUAAGGACAGCCUGGGCCCUGGGCAACUACCACCGCUUUUUCCGGCUCUACUGCCAUGCACCCUGCAUGUCUGGCUACCUCGUGGACAAGUUUGCAGAUCGGGAACGCAAGGUCGCCCUCAAAGCCAUGAUCAAAACGUAUGUGGUGCCAAGCUCCCUUCUGCCCUUGCUCUUCCCAUCCUUCUGUCUCACACCGCCUCUCAGACCAGCUCCUGGCCGCAGGCCUCCCCCAGCCCCCGACCCUUCUCCUGGUCCUUGCUCUCCCAUCUUUCUCCGUUCAGCCCUCCCCUCUCCAGUUCCUCUUGCUUUCCUUCUUGGCCACCUCUGUGUUCCGGGUCACUCCUCCCCGCCUUCCCACUGUUCCCAGCUCACUGCCUCUGGGGCCUCUUUUCCACCCCGUCUGUGCGUUUCUUCCUCCUGUUCUCUCCUGCCUGGAUCCCCUAGUUCACUCCUUGCUCUGGGCUUCCUCAGAACCCUGAGGUCUCUGCUUUCUCAGCUUGUCGCUGUGCUCCCACCAUAGAGACCACCCAGGCAGUCUCUGGUCUAACAGGACAAGGCCCUGUCCCAUGCAGCUCCUUGGAGAGCACCAGAAACACUUAGGGAGACACCUGCGAUGAGGCCACACUGGGCGUGGUGCCAAAGGCCCCCAGUCAGGCCGUGCCCCUGCAGUGUCCUUUGUUCACUAGACAUUGCUCUUGGCUUGCUGUGGGUAGGGGACAGUUGCUUGACUCACGUUUAGACGCAUGGUUCUGUCUGGUGAUUGAGGUGCCCAGGCGACGCUGGGCAAUGUCAAGAGAGGUUUUCGGUUGUCACAGCAAGGGGAUGCUCUUGGCAUCUAGUGAGUGAAGGCCAGGGUUGCUGAGGCCAGGUGUGCUGCCCCACCACUGCCACUGGGGCCCAGAGGUCAGUCUUGCCAAGGUGGAGAAAUUCUGGUCGAAGAGGUUGACCAGUAGACUGGAGAGGCCUUGAGUGCCUGGCCAGGUGGCCCUCCGUGUGAGCUCAGUCACAGCAUGGAGGCCUUGAGUGCCUGGCCAGGUGGCCCUCCGUUUGAGGUCAUAGUCACAGCAUCGUUUGGAGCUAGGGAGGGAUCGUCAGCCUGGAGAUUGGGAGACUCAUUCUGGAAUCUAGUGUGGGUUAAGCCAACUUCAGGGAGAGGCUGAGCCAGGGUAGGAGUCACAGGAGCAGACGAGCAUGUGGGAUGCCGUGCCCAGAGCUCCAUGCCAGCUUGGGAAGUUAGAGGCAGGAGGCUGCCCAGUCUGCUGCCAUGAUGGGCCCCAUGAAUGGCGGCUCUCAAGCUUCCGACUGCACAGGGGCCUGUGGUUGGGCGAGCAUCCUGGUGAAUUGAUGCCUAAUUGGCCUUGGUUGGGAACAUAGCCGUGAGGCUACUCGUGGGUGGGGCCCUAGUCUGUCAUUGACCUCAUUGUGUCAGCACCUUUCCCCCAAGGAGGCUGACCCUGCCCUGCCAGCUGAGACUGGGAGAUGGCGUGGGCUCUGAUCCCAUGGCCUCCAUGAAGCUCUGGCUUUGGAGCAGAAGUGGAUUCUAGGACUUAGUUCCCCUCACUUGGUGCCUUGGUUCCUGUGUGUGUGGAAAGGGUAGGGCUGCACCGCCUGUGGAAGAGGGUUCAGGGAGCUCUGAGGACCUGGGUCAUGCUAGAUGCUUAGUAGUGUCGCUUAGCAGCAGCCAGAAGUAAUUGCUUUUAGUAUGUAGUGGUGAUUGCUGGCUGGCACCCCUGUGCCUGGCCUCCCAAAGACACUGUAAUGCAGGGCAGAGGAAGCAGCGAGGGCCGGGUCCCCAUGGUGGCCCUGGCAGCCCUGCCAGCCCUGCCAUCCCCAUCCCCUGCCGCGUGUUGCUCCCUCCAUCUGGCCCCUGCCCCUCAGCCAGCAGAGGAGCCUGCUGGGCCCUUCCCUGCCUGUCCCCUCUCCUCCCUGGCCCCUGCACAGGUAAGUGAGGGCGAGGGGGGGCACAGCUGGGGGCUGGGGCCACUAACCCCACCCCGGGCCCCCCUAAGCCCCUGAGGUGGGGAGGCUGGGAGGCGGGUGGGGAAGCCAGCAGGUACUGUGCUGAGGAAAUCCUGUGGGUACCCGAAUGGGGGGGCCUCCCCGCUCGUGGGGCCCUCCCCUGCCCUCCCGCCCGCCCGCCUCAUCACCUUCUCCUCUUGUCUCCAUAGCUUCCGCCCUGCGCUGCCAGUCUCCUACCUGCAGGCCGAGCUGGCCUUCGAGGGCGAGGCCACCUGCCGGGCCUUCCUAGAGCCCCUGGGCCUGGCCUACACGGGCCCGGACAACUCCAGCAUCGACUGCCGCCUCAGCCUGGCGCAGCUGUCAGCCUUCUGAGCACCCAGCGAGGAGGGGGCGGGGGCAGGGGCUGCAGCCCCGGCGCUGCCUUUGCGGAUUCUGUUUUUGAGCCGUGGACUUGGGUUGUAAAUUUAUUUGUGGGGAGUGGGCUCCAGGAAGAGCCACCGUCCCUGCCCCCGUUUUCCCACCGGGGAGUCUGUACAGAGAUUUUUCUACGUUUUUAUUUUUUGCCUCAGAGGGAUGGGAUUGGGGAGGAGGGGAUGGGCAGCGGAGGGUUGGGGGCAUGGUCUGCAGGCUCAUCUGUGUCCGCCUUUCACUCCACUAAUGCUGUCUCAGUGUUUUCUCUCUCUCUCUUUCGAGCUUGCACUCCGGUACCCGACCCGGCGCCCUGGCCCAUCCCAUGCCGGGGGGCCAGUGGAAAGAAGACAGGCCGUCCAGCCCGUGCCCGCCUGCGGCGGGGGCAUCCAGCAAGCCCGCCCACCGCCCGCUGCCUCACCUGCUUCGCCACAGACUCUUGUUCCCAGCCCCUUGGGGCCACCGUGUUUGGGGUGAGGGGAGCUGCUUAGAGACUGUGCCCGUCCUUGGCCCCCCACCCUGAAGUGCCAGCACCACCAGCACCAGAUCCUCCGCCGCCACACCGCACUGAGGACACGCCGGCCGGGCCGCCUCGUCUCAAGUUGUAUACAGUUGUCUCCGUGUCCCCUCCUCCCUCUGCCCCCAAUGUUUCUUCUGAUUUUUUUUUCCCCUUUCCUUCCCUCCUCCCUGCAUUCCUCCCUUGGUUCAGCACAGGUAAAAUGGCUCCCCUCCCUCCCUGCCUUCAUGGAUCACCAGCUCACGUCAUGUUGCCUUCUCUUUUCUUUGUGUGUGUGUUUAAGUUAUUUUUCUUCCUCCUCUCCCUUUUCUUUUUGGCCCUCCCUCCCUCCCUCUUCUGCCAUGUAACUGGAGGAUGUGCUAUGAGUUUGCAAACAGCUGGACUGUCAGGCUGCUUUUUUUCCAGAUGUUCCUCCUCUGCCUUCCCUUCCCCUCCUCUCCCCUCCCUUUCCUUCCUUCCUUCCUUUCCUUGGAGCACUGAGCACCAUUUGGAAGCUUGAGAGAAACCAAAAUUAAAGAGAGAGAGAGAGAGAGAG